UACGAAGGGGGCUAGCGUUGCUCGGAAUUACUGGGCGUAAAGCGCACGCAGGCGGUUCGCCAAGCUUGGAGUGACAGUUGUCGGCUCAACCGACAAAGGACUUCAAAAACUGGUGAACUUGAGGACGAGAGAGGAACAUGGAACUCCAGGUGUAGUAGUGAAAUGCGUAGAUAUCUGGAAGAACACCAAUGGCGAAGGCAAUGUUCUGGCUCGUUUCUGACGCUCAGGUGCGAAAGCCAGGGGAGCGAACGGG
rnacentral:rRNA from 1 species